rnacentral:rRNA from 1 species
UACGUAGGGUGCGAGCGUUAAUCGGAAUUACUGGGCGUAAAGCGUGCGCAGGCGGUUCGUCGUGUCCGAUGUGAAAGCCCCGGGCUCAACCUGGGAAUGGCAUUGGAAACUGGCGGGCUUGAGUGUGGCAGAGGGGGGUGGAAUUCCGCGUGUAGCAGUGAAAUGCGUAGAGAUGCGGAGGAACACCGAUGGCGAAGGCAGCCCCCUGGGCUAACACUGACGCCUCAGGCACGAAAGCGUGGGGAGCAAACAGG